rnacentral:rRNA from 1 species
AUUGAACGCUGGCGGCAUGCUUUACACAUGCAAGUCGAACGGUAACAGGCCGCAAGGUGCUGACGAGUGGCGGACGGGUGAGUAAUGCAUCGGAACGUGCCCAGUCGUGGUGGAUAACUACUCGAAAGAGUAGCUAAUACCGCAUACGAUCUAUGGUUGAAAGCGGGGGACCGUAAGGCCUCGCGCGAUUGGAGCGGCCGAUGUCAGAUUAGGUAGUUGGUGGGGUAAAGGCUCACCAAGCCAACGAUCUGUAGCUGGUCUGAGAGGACGACCAGCCACACUGGGACUGAGACACGGCCCAGACUCCUACGGGAGGCAGCAGUGGGGAAUGUUGGACAAUGGGCGCAAGCCUGAUCCAGCAAUGCCGCGUGCAGGAAGAAGGCCUUCGGGUUGUAAACUGCUUUUGUACGGAACGAAACGGCUCUGGUUAAUACCCGGGGCUAAUGACGGUACCGUAAGAAUAAGCACCGGCUAACUACGUG